rnacentral:lncRNA from 1 species
AUGCCACAACAAGGCAGCAUAUUGCCACAUCCAUAUCAUAAUGGUAUCAGUCAACCAAAAUAUAGCCAAAAAUAUGAAUUUUCUAGUUAACAUAACCAAUAUAUUCAACCAACAAAAAGGAAAUAAUCGCAGUUCAUUUUUUUUGGUCUCUUGGAGCCACAAUGUCAUAGCCUUGACAUCCUUACAGUUGGUUGCUUCCUGUUUGAGGAUCUACUUUGUUGGCUUUCUUGGUUGGUAUCACUUAUAAGCUAACUUGGUUCCUGUAUAUAAGUCUUCAUGGUUAGUAUGUAAGUAGAUCGCAGCACCCAAAAAAAGGCAAUUGAGAACUAGUACCUAUGAAAGAGUAGUAGCAGUAGUACUUGAGACACUAGCCUGAGCUAUAGAAGCUACAGAUGUUGCAUUUUUUGUUGGACCAACUUUAGAUGCCUAUAGUUCAAAUCGAAAUGAAUGAGUGUAUAAGUAACAACAAAAUAAACUAAAAAAUUGAUUUGGUUCUAAAAUGUUACAUUACUUUGUAAAGUUUGGAUUUAGGGUGAUUGCUGAUUUGCAGGUUCUUCUGUUAAGUUCAGAUUUCAAACGCCUUCGGCAGUAAACUGCAAGACCCUUCCUACUUGCUUUCUACUGAUUUAUAGGCUAUUCUAGACCCUUCUUCCUCUGUGUCUUUGGCCUACCAGGCUGUUUUUUCACCAAUGGUGGGUUCAAAUAUUGCAUUUUGCUAUCCACCUAGAACUAUUUCAAAGGAACGGGACCAAUUGUGAAGUUGUAGGCCCUUAAAUAUGCUUCCCUAUGGUGACAAGCAUCAACAUAUUGCUCGAAUUCCAACUUUCUGCUAUGAAUGCAGGCAACCGCAUGCACGCAUGGAAUGCCACUAAGUUGAAAAUGACCAUAGGUACAUGUUUUCAUCUCCACAUUAACAACAUUUGUCCUUCCAUAGCCAUCAACUUCCAAAUUUUCAUUUCUCCAUAAAUCGCAGCACAAUUUCUUGCAUUUACCUUUAGUUUCUCUAACUUCUCAUGAAUGUUUUGGGCAUAAAGUGCCACCAUGUUUCAGGAUGUCCUCUCAUUUAGUUGCUGACCUUUGCAUUAAUCUCCUCUGAAUCCACUCCAGCAUUGUUAUUAUUGGCUCAUCUCUAGCUUUUAGAAUAUAAUUAUUCCAUGGCUCACUCAUAUUGUUGAUGCACGUGUCACUCCUACAAGCUGUACUGGACCAUAGUUUUGGAGGCAACUGUUUGAACCAUCCUGCAGCUGCUAGCUUGUCACCUUCCUGUGGAUCCGCCCUUUCAAGAUUUGUUAGGGUAGUUUCAUACUCUGAUAUGCUUGCUGCUGCAGCAACUUUCCAAAACAUGCCCCUAUGGUCUUGAUUUUUGAAUCUUUGUUUGAAGUUCCCGAACAUAUGUUUCAGGCAGAAUUUGUGCUCUAAUUCAGGGAACAACUCCUCAAUUACAUGGACAAGGCCCCUUUGUCUAUUCGAAAUGAAAGUGUAAGCCAAGACUGUAAGCAUCCCUACCCAAGACUGUAAGCAGCUAACUUCCAAAGGGACUAUUCAGCAAGCAGCCAUCUAGUCCUAUCAUAGGUCUGCAUCCUUCUAGAAAAUCAUUCUUUAGAGUACCUAAUCCAUAAUAUAUCCUCUGAAAUGUAGCCCUUUUCUCAACAUUUCGCCUAUCAAUUUGUAGUGAAAUAUGACUAUCAUAAUUGGAUAUUUUUACAGUAGCUACAUAAUCCCAAAGUUUAUGGUAUUGUUCCAUGUCAUUUUUCAUAAGUGCCUCUAAUACUUUCGGCUUUGUUGUUACAGCUUUUUUCUAACUAAUGUCUAGCAUAAAUAAUCUGCUUGUCUCUUUCACUAUGGCAAGAAUACUAUACCCAAGAUCAUCUGUCACCUUGACAUAAAAUUUAUUACUUAGAUAUGUUGAAGUGGCAUGUCUAUUGUUGUAAUUCCUGCCACAAUGGUAUUCUCCCUUAAGAGUUUUGAUCAUAAAUAUCUUUGUUCUAUAGAUUCUGCUUGCAUGAAUUCUCCAACUGCACCCUUUUGCACAUUUAGUUGUGAUUUGGAAGCCUUCAUUUUUGAUGUAUUUGUGCUCAUAUCCUUCCCUAAUUUCUCAUUCCACCAAAGCCUCUCUAAAUUUACAGAAGCUAGUAAAUUUAUGGUCAACCUAUAGUUCAAAGUGCUCUUUUCUAAACUCUUCCUCCGCAUUGAAGUAACUGUAAUCAGGAAUGCUAUCAUCAUCAGAUCCUAUCCCUUUGUCAAACAGGUUUUCAUCAUCCUCUACUGGCUCAUUCCAGUUCUCUUCCUGUUCAUUAGCACAACAGCUAUCAUCCACACCUGAUGUUGGUUGACUCCCCACUUCAUGGGUCUGGUUCUUUGUUUGUUUUCUUGAUUUCGAUUACUGAUUUUGUUGUUGCUACUUUGAAUCAAUUUGUUUUUUGAAUUGGGCCUGCUGAUUUUCUUCUUGUUAAUCUAAAUCGACUUAUUUUCUAGUUUUUACUUGCUAAUUUUCUUUUUACUGCUGUGAACCAACUCCAACAAAAUUUGUAGAUUUUAGAUUUAUAGAUACCUGUGUUGAUCAUUAACCUUUUAAACUUAUAAAUAUGUCAUCAUCUUCAGGCCAUUCUAGUGCUUCUCUUAGUCAGUCAGGAAGAUCUGAAUAAUCUAGUUUGACAUCAUCUUCUUCUCUGUCUUCAUGAACUAUUUUUUCUCCCAUAAUAUUAGUUGUUUCUUCUAUUGGAUCUCUCUCAACUGUUGUUUCAUCUACUGAAUUCCUUGUGGGAGACUGUUGGACCUCUGAGGAUGUAUCGACUUUUUCUUUCUCUUUAAAUAACCGCCUGACUGACUUUUUUGCACUUAACUUUACUCUUUGCCGCUUAACUUUUUUAUCAUUUGUUGUUUUCUUCCUUUUGGACUUGUUAGCUAAAUCAUGUAUCUCCUCUCUAUGUGGUCCCACAAAAGUUGGAUCCGACUCCAUUUGUGAUGACUCUUCAUCACAGAUGUCAUUUCCUCUAGAGUUAAUGUGUGGAAUGUCAUUAUUGUCCUUAUUCCCAAUUACUAAAGGGUCAAUGUUAUCACUGCUUUUCAUAACUGAGGAUGAACUAAUUUCAACAUGCCAAUUGUUAUCAUAUGGAAGUGCAACUACGCCAUCACUAGUCACUCUCUUGUAUAGUAAUUUUUCAUCUAAAAACAUAACUUCAAUGGGAUCAGGCCCCCUCUCAGCAUCUAUGUGCAUUUUUGGAAGUCCCUCAUAACAUGUUGUUAAUAACUCGAUGUCAACAUCAUCCUUAAUGCUAACAACACCAAUAUCAAUGUCAUAAAAGGGGAUAGAGUACCAGAAAUUCAUAUUUGUUAUGCCACGCUCAAUUGUGAUAUACAUUUUUUGAAAUUCAAAUGAAGAUAAUUCAUCAGGAUCCCAUCCACAAAAUACUCUGAAGUGUUUGCCAGUGUAUCUAAUUAUCGAUUUUCAUUUGAAAUAUCCAUCAUAAUGCAUGUGUAUAUCUAUGGUCUUAAACGGAUGAUCUUCCAUUCUUAUACACCUAAACCAAAGUAAUAGAGAUUAAUUUACUAAUUUCAUUUUCAAUUGUAUCGAAAAGAACGGACAAUAUUUCAUACAUUUUCGAUUUCAAAAAAACAUAGUCAACAUUAACGCACUUAUCUAGAAGGAUAAAAAACAUAAUACCAGUAUGGGCUACAAUAGUCCCGGUUACUCCAAAAAGACCCAUUCUUUUCUACUUUUUGCAUAUUUAGCAAUUUUUAAAAAAUUUUCCCACAAAGAUUGUCAAAAAAACUUCUGACUAAGCCAAAACUGACACUCUUUUUACCAAGUUUCAAAAUAUCCCCAACAAUUUACUACCAAAACACCUUCCAUCAAACCAAUCAACACCUCUAAAAUUUAGGGUUCAGAUCUAAGAUUACCUCGUUAAUAGCUAUGCAAUGCUCAAUACGUCGCAACCCUCGACCGAUCUACACAGAAACGCCUUCUUCGUCUGCGAGUUACACAUGAAAAUCCCGUUGUUUAUCGGUGCCGUAGAAGAUGAUAGUGAUUGGGACGGAACUUGGCUGUAGAUUUAAGGUUUCUCUCUCUACACAUGAAGUACCGCUCAAGAUCUGCUAAUUGCAUCUGUACCUUUUCAGAUAUUAUAAAUGAGGGUACUUUUGGUAUUUUAUAUUGUUACCGGCUUUCCAGCCAGUUAGCUAGUAAAAUCCAAAGAAAUCCAAAGUACAAGGGAGUUAAGUGAGUGUUUCUAGACAAUAAGGGGGUUUCGUGUCAAUUUUCCUAACCACAAGGGGAUUUUCUGUAUUUUACCCAUAAUUUUUCUAAAAAAAAGUACAUUUGCUUAGAAUAAGAUCUCUUAAUAAUAACUUAAAUUUCUUCUAGAAUUAGUAAAUUUCAACAAUUAUAAUGGCAUUGGAAAGGUAUCAAGUUGAAGGAAUGAAACGAGCCAUAAAGAUUAAACAAUUCAUAAUGAACAAGAAGAAUAUACCUUAAUAUGCAACUUGGUCCAUGUGAGAUAAAUCUUCAAACUUUUGGCAACUCAAUUUCUUUUAAUUGUCUUUACUUCCUGCAUAUAUAACAAAAAAUUUACAAAAAAUUCUAUGAACAAUAAAGCAAGUAACUUGUACACAGAUAGUAGAUGUUUGACCGUAAAACAAUAAAGUUUACCUUUUUUUUGAUCCCGUGAAGAUUUUUACACUAAUCUUCUACACACAUCAAUACUUGAGUUGUAUCUGGGUGAAGUGAAGCCUGAUAGGUAUCAAUUACUAGAGUCUUGGCACUAAAUGUGGCCUCGGAUGCAACUGUAGUUACUAGAAUGGCCAAAAGAUUACAGGCCAUGUGAAACAAUACUAGGUAUGGGAUCCAAUUUAUUUUCUAUAAUUCCAAACAAUCAAAGUCUUUGGUGGUUGUUCCAAUCUUUUGGCAAGACUUGUCUAAAUAAUCAACAAAUUCAUAUUUAUAAGGUUCGGUAUUCUAUAUUUCAUCACAAUACUUAUCAAAGUCAUCCUAAGCAGAAAAAUAUUGUAUAUUUUUUCCUACCAUUUCUGAAGAGUGGUCUUCCACUACUUGUCCAUUUGCAUUCACUGUAAAAGCAACAUACUCCUCAUGCAACUCAAAUAUAACUUUUCAAAUAUUGGAAAUGUUCUCAAAAGCUAGGGUAGAAAAGCUCUAUAACCCGUAUUUUCUAUCUCGGAUCUAAAAUGGCAGCAACUGUCAUUAGCAAAUUACAUUCAAUAUUGUGACGACCCCACCUUCUUCUAGGGCGUACCCUAGAAGUUAGCGGACUGCCUGCCUGACUUUCGUUAGGACUCACUCACUCACAUUGACUUCAGAGAUAAUAUUUCCAUUAAACAACUGAACGUUCACUCCUAAGUACAACUCCAAUCAGCUUGAAACAUAAAUUUUUCCAAUAAAAGAAACAAAAUACAUGUUCUAAACAUCCAUUCUUAAUACCACACCAAACUCAUGAUAAAAGGUUUGACCAUUUCAAGGUACAAAGGAAAACCAUAGCUACAAUAUAUACACAUUAACGGAUCUUUCAAAACAACUUACUAAUUCAACUCGAUCAUUCUUCAAACUUCAAUUCCUGUAAGGAAAACAAACUAAAAGAUUGAGCGAAACCCAGUGAGGUUCCACACAAGCAACAAUCAAUAAACUCUUAAACCAGUUAAGCCAAUAACAAAAUUAAACAACUAAGGAACACUUUACUGAACAAUCACUUUUAAAGGGAUACGGUGCUCGCAUUAGAGCCAUUUCAAUGCACUACACACUCCACCGAACUCCUCCUUAUAAUCUCCAAAACAGUAAACAUUUCGCUUACUUAGAUGGUCAUAUCAAUAUCAGUAAUCUGCUACUCCGUGGUAAUACUCGAGCAUAAAACACUGGCAUAAUCAUAUAAGUAUCAUUUAAGCAACACAUAGGCAAUUUAAACACACAAAUGUGGAAACACUCACCAAAUUCCAAAUAAAUUACUCUCGAGUCUCGGGUUUGCUUUCUUACUCACAGCUAGCCCCCUGAGACAAGUUUAUAACUCUAAAGUGAAUAUACAAUUCAUAGAUGACCACUUAUCAUUUAUUACCUUAUGAUUUAAACUAUUAAAGUCGAGUUUUGGCUUUAAAAUACAAGAUAUAACAUAUGCAAUACCUAUCUUACAUUUCACCUCAAAACUUAUCAACUUUAUCAAUUUAAACUAAAGAAAUAACAUAUAUUCCAAGUUUAAAGUCUUAUAAGAUGUUUAGCUUAAGAUUAAACCAUUUUCUAUUCAUUAUUCUAAGAUUAAGGCAAAUAGACUUUUCAUUCUUUCCUUUUUAGAUUAAACUAGAUUCUAAGUUGCCUAUAGUUUAAAUCUCGUUUAAAUUUUACUAAUUUUCUAGUUUUAAGUUCUUUAAAAUGCUCAUAAAAAUAGUUUCAAGAUGCUAUAAGAUGCUCCAUAUAAAUUCACAACCAUUUAACCUAAAUUUUCAAAAAUUUCAUGAGAGCUUCAUCUCUUCACACAUUCGGUCAGUCAAAGCAAGAAGUUUAGCUCAAAUGUUUCAAAAUCUUCAACAAAUUCCAUCUUUCACUUGCUUAAACAUUAGUUACUUAGUAUACAUUCUGUUCAACAUGAACUAAGGUGAGUAAUUCAUAAUUUCAACAUGUUAUUCAGCUAAAUCACAUACAAAAGCUGUCAUCAGCUAUAACAUUCCCCAACUAAAUUUUCUAGCAGUGUAACAGUCCAACAUUUGUUGUUUUUUUUCUCAAAUCCUUCCUUUCAAUUUCCUGUUCCAACUAAACAGGAAAAUCAUAUUUGUUAAGCUACAAAGUAGCCUUAAAGGAAAGACUGAUCAAAACUCUUCUCUCUAUCUCUCGGCCAUGAUGUAAAUUCAGUAGCAAUCAGCUUUCAAUCAAAAUUUUCUCCAUUAGUCACUUCAUUAUGUACUCAAAUCCAACAAACAUGCUAAAACUGACAUGUUACAACUUAGUACGUUGGUUUAGAGGCUAAAAUUUACAGAGGACAACCAGAGUUUCCUAGUUUUUCCUAUCGAUUGAAGCCAAUAAAUUUCCAACAGAGCAGUAGUUUAUCAUUUGACAUUUUCUCAUAGCUUACUCUUCUGUUUUAUGUUCCAAUUAAUCAUGUAGAGGAUAUUUAUUCAACUACAGAUUAUCCUAAACAAAACAUGGAAGUUUAUGACCAAAAUUCAAGAGAAAAACUGAAUUAAAUCUCAUGUCUGCGUUUAGCUGCAAAUCUGAUGCAUAGCAGCAUGCAUCAUAUUUCUUUCGUGCUCAAUUCUCUCCAUCUCAUGCUCACUUUCUCACGCAUGAAGAAAUCAAGAUGAUGUGCAACAUGUACAGAUUAACACAGGAUUUUUCGAGUUAUUAUUCACAAAGUCAGCUGAUUUCCUCCCAUUUUUCCUAUCGGAUGAGGCUGGAAAUUCCAGCAGGAGCUUUUCGUUUGUUCAUUUCAAUUUUCUAACUUUCUCCCAAAAUUCCUGCAGCUAAACCUUUAUAAUACCUAAGGUAUUUGUAUAACAGGUUCUUCCUUUGUUAUCUUUUCCAUUUUUACACUACGAAUCGAACUGCAAUUUCUAUUGAUACCUCUCGGUUCCUACCAGUUCAGUCAAAUAUUCAUUUCAUCUUCAUAACAGAAUCUUUCUACCGAAGCUUAUUCUUUUCCUCUACCAAACUCAACUUGCAGCUUAAACAUAUACUUAGUUAUACUCAGUAUAUAAGUGUUAUUCACGAAACUUACCUCUUGCCUUAAGUGUUAGGAAUUGCAGACGAAAUCAGUUUCCUUUCCAGCUUUGUUCCCUCCAGUCCUUGGUUAGUUGAUGAUGAAACUCACCAGACUCUCGUUCUCACUUUCUCAAUCUUGCUCUCUUUUCUCACUCUCUCUGUUUUCUCUCGGUGUUGGCUUGGUAAAGAGAGGAACUAUAGUUUUAUUUUGUUCUCAGCCACCGCCCAAAUUUUAGCAGAUAGU